rnacentral:sRNA from 1 species
CAACUAGACCCACAAAGUAAACAAAAGGAUUGUUGCCUAAUCAUCGAGAUGGAAAAGAAACGAACUGUGAAGGCAACCCCUCAGUUUCCCACGGUCAAUGAGUUUCUGAAGGAGAUGUAGGCUGGGGCUGUGCACACUGCCUGAUUCCCUGAACUCAGCCGCGACUAGGAAGGCCUUCCGGAAGACCAGGGAAACGGGACCCCGGAGUCUUAAGGAAUCAGGAGAUUUCCCCACUUCCCCCUCUAGCCAGGAAACAGCCAGUGCAACUGUUAAAGAACUCAGGCCCUGACUCUGCAGAUGUCAAAAGAGAACUAAUAUCUGUAGCAGAAUAACGGCACAAGGGCUCCUUGCGGGAUUCUGCUUCAUUUAGAGUCAAUUACUCUUUGCUUCUAAGAGGAACACAGCUUUGAAGUAAUAUGAGAACAUAUUUAAUCCUGCCCUACCUGGGAUACCCGUUUUGAGGCAUUUUGCCAAAAUCUCAGGCAGAUGAUUCCCGAUUCCUUCUACUUCUACGUCUCUUUCAUUAUCCUAAUGAAUGCAGAGAUCAAAAGUCCUAAAUAUUUCCCAGCAAACAUUUCCGGGGGCCUCUAACUUGACAAGUGUAUGACCCUGCACCCCAAGUAGGUUGAUGGUGAGCAGGACAUCACAGAGUCCCCACACGAGUCGUAGGAUUUUAGAAGCAGUCAGAGUCAUGGUAUAUUUAUCUAGUCUUGAGCUUCAGGCUUAACGUCAUUUCCUCAUCAAGAAUGGGGAAAAGGGUAAUUGGAUUUAAAUGUCAAGAUGUUCCAAGUGUUGGGGUGGAAGACACAUGUCUGGUUUUUUUUUUUUUUUUUUUGCUACUUUUUUCCUUUGGUUUUAUGAUAAUGAAAACUGAAACCACUUGUUGCUGGGAGAUGGGAGUGAAUCCAUUAGGACUUGAAAAGAGGGGCAGCGAUGGUCAGAGGGCAGGCGAGUGACUAUCAGAUGCAGACGGCAAGGGACACAAAGGGGUAAGAAAGCUUCGUGAGAGACUCAGCCAGGCACGGGACAUCUGAAGAGGGACCAACGAGAGUCCAAAGGAAGAGCUGAUUAGGACGGCAGUUGGGAUGAUGGCCACACUUCAGAGAAGACUGCAUCAAGUUUUGCCGUCCCCCGAGAACAGAAGAAACGUCAACGUAAGGAGCUAAGAGCAUGGGAGGGGACCAUGAAAGUCUACCUCAGUGGAUGACACCGGGUUGUGGAGCAACGCAGAUGGACUACAUAUUAUUUCAUAGGCUACUUUCUACAUGACCACAAACCCCCAACUUCCAAAGUUUGUGGUAGGGAAUUGGGGAAAGUAGCCAGAUUGUUAGUGCUGGACACUUCCUGUAAGGAUGAGACAAGUGUCUGGACUGGCUGUUCCCAGCUGAACCAAGGGCAGAUCAGAUGUAAGCUCUCAGCUAUUGCUCCAGCACCAUGCCUGCCUGUCUGCAGCCACGCUCCCUGCCAUAAUGGUCAUGAACUCUAACCUUCUGGAACGAUGAGCCCCUAUUAAAAAUUGUCUUGGUCAUGUUUUUUUUUUUCUCUCACAGCAACAG